AUUCCAGCUCCAAUAGCGUAUAUUAAAGUUGUUGCAGUUAAAACGCUCGUAGUUGAAACUUUACUGGAUUGUGGUUUGUCAUUUUAUGACGAAUGAGCAACCUGGUAUUCAGAACCACCUUUUAGUUUUCUAGAAUGUGUGGUUCAAUGUUACUUUGAAUAAAAUAGAGUGUUUCAAGCAGGCAAUCGCUAUGAAUAUCUCAGCAUGGAAUAACAAUUUGUAUGUUGUCUCUUCUUUGUUGGUUCAAGGGUCAAUUGUACGUAUUAAAAGGAGCAGUUGGGGGCAUUUGUAUUUGGUAGCUAGAGGUGAAAUUCUAAGAUUUACCAAGGACAAACUAAUGCGAAAGCAUUUGCCAAGAAUGUUUUCAUUA
rnacentral:rRNA from 1 species